rnacentral:lncRNA from 1 species
ACGACAUCAAAAACAAACAGUCUCAGUUGCUCGACAUUGACCUGGAUGACGUCGACCACAUUGAAGACACUCGGGUCUAUCAGUUUGAAUACUGCCAACACUCGCAAUUGAAGUGGUCUGAGCUUUCUGACCUAUAAAUCUUCUACCUCUGUUUCGGCUAGAAUACCUGCUAAAAAACUAGAUCUCGUAGAGAACUCUCUAGGCCUAUUGGAUGUAGACUAAAAUGACUUGCUCAUCUGUCUUUUCUUCG